rnacentral:rRNA from 1 species
UACGUAGGGGGCAAGCGUUGUCCGGAUUUAUUGGGCGUAAAGAGCGUGUAGGCGGCUUUACAGGUCCGUUGUGAAAACUCGAGGCUCAACCUCGAGACGCCGGUGGAAACCGUAAGGCUAGAGUCCGGAAGAGGAGAGUGGAAUUCCUGGUGUAGCGGUGAAAUGCGCAGAUAUCAGGAAGAACACCCGUGGCGAAGGCGUCUCUCUGGGACGGUACUGACGCUGAGACGCGAAAGCGUGGGGAGCGAACAGG